rnacentral:rRNA from 1 species
UACGGGGGGGGCAAGCGUUGUUCGGAAUUACUGGGCGUAAAGGGCUUGUAGGUGGCCAACUAAGUCAGACGUGAAAUCCCUCGGCUUAACCGGGGAACUGCGUCUGAUACUGGAUGGCUAGAGUUUGGGAGAGGGAUGCGGAAUUCCAGGUGUAGCGGUGAAAUGCGUAGAUAUCUGGAGGAACACCGGUGGCGAAGGCGGCGACCUGGUCCAUUACUGACGCUGAGGCGCGAAAGCGUGGGGAGCAAACAGG